AUUGAACGCUGGCGGCAGGCCUAACACGUGCAAGUCGAACGGUAGCACAGAGAGCUUGCUCUCGGGUGACGAGUGGCGGACGGGUGAGUAACGUCUGGGAAACUGCCCGAUGGAGGGGGAUAACUACUGGAAACGGUAGCUAAUACCGCAUAACGUCGCGAGACCAAAGUGGGGGACCUUCGGGCCUCACACCAUCGGAUGUGCCCAGAUGGGAUUAGCUAGUAGGUGGGGUAAUGGCUCACCUAGGCGACGAUCCCCAGCUGGUCUGAGAGGAUGACCAGCCACGCUGGAACUGAGACACGGUCCAGACUCCUACGGGAGGCAGCAGUGGGGAAUAUUGCACAAUGGGCGCAAGCCUGAUGCAGCCAUGCCGCGUGUAUGAAGAAGGCCUUCGGGUUGUAAAGUACUUUCAGCGGGGAGGAAGGCGGUGGAGUUAAUAACUUCACCGAUUGACGUUACCCGCAGAAGAAGCACCGGCUAACUCCGUGCCAGCCGCCGCCGUAA
rnacentral:rRNA from 1 species